rnacentral:rRNA from 1 species
AGAGCGAACGCUGGCGGCAGGCCUAACACAUGCAAGUCGAGCGCCCGUAGCAAUACGGGAGCGGCAGACGGGAUAGUAACACGUGGGAACGCGCCCUUCGGUUCGGAAUAACUCAGGGAAACUUGAGCUAAUACCGGAUACGCCCUUACGGGGAAAGAUUUAUUGCCGAAGGAACGGCCCGCGUCCGAUUAGCUAGUUGGUGAGGUAAUGGCUCACCAAGGCGACGAUCGGUAGCUGGUCUGAGAGGAUGACCAGCAUCACUGGGACUGAGACACGGCCCAGACUCCUACGGGAGGCAGCAGUGGGGAAUAUUGGACAAUGGGCGCAAGCCUGAUCCAGCCAUGCCGCGUGGAUGAUGAAGGCCUUAGGGUUGUAAAGUCCUUUAACGGGGAAGAUAAUGACGGUACCCGUAGAAUAAGCCCGGCUAACUCGUGCCAGCAGCCGC